GCCAAAGGCGAACGUAGGCAUUUAAGGCAAUGCACGUUAUGAUUAUGAUGAUGAUGCAAGUCUAAGUUAACGCUGCUUAGCUUAACUUCAACAGGAUUAGUUUGUUGAUGCAUAAGCACUCCAAUUUAAAAGUCCAUUUUUAGAUAGAUAUCGACCUAAUCUAACAAGCUGAAAUAAAAAAGUUAUUUACGCUGUGUCUUAGACUCAUCCAUGGAUUUCGUCAUUGUGAAUGAGUUCUUUCAGUGCUCCGAGAAUCCUCUACAAUGACAACCUGAAUCAACUUCCUAGCUCGAAACGUUUCUGCGCUACACCGAUUUAAAAUUUUACUCAAAGGGAAUUCGUGAUUGUCACGUGCAUGCACUAACACUUGUGUGAUAUGUCACGGGCAAACCACAUCCUAUGAGCGACAAACACAAAUCAACGACAAACCAUCCUACAAUGACAAAAACAAGAUCUAUAUGUCAAAGAUUCAACCAUCGUUUACGAGUGACUAGUUUUGUACGUAAUAGCGAUUUAAAUUUGAUGGUGUUUUGUCACGCAAAACUAUCGACCGUUCACUACUAUAACGAGCGAGUUGACGGUUUCACAUCAAAAUAAAAUGACAAAAAAUUUAUGGUUUCA